CUUAUCAACCGAGAUGAUAUCCCAACAUUUCCAACACGCAGAGUCUCGCCUUGGUCGCGUCCGAGGAGUCGUCGCGUGAAAAUGCCGGGGAGCACUUUGCCUGCGACCGCACGAUCGUCGCGCGUGAUCGUACGCGUGUGAAUCCCCGCGAGUACACCUGCGAUCGAAGCACCUGAUCGGCGAUCGGAGGAGGGAGUCCACUGAUAAAAUCGUUGCAGAGAGGAUUACACUUGACGACGCAAAAUGGAGACGUCACUCGUGAUGAUUCCUGGCGAGAAAGAUCCCUCGAGAUGUCGCGAAGACGUCGAACGUCGCGGCGGCAUCCGGUACCUCUGAAGGGGAGAUGUACUUUACGAAGAUGCACGGGUGAUACAGGACAGGCUCCAACAAAAUGUUGAUCAAGGAGUAUCGCAUACCGUUGCCUCUCACGGUAGAGGAAUAUCGAAUCGCUCAGCUGUACAUGAUAGCGAAAAAGUCCCGGGAGGAGAGCAAGGGUGCCGGUAGCGGCGUGGAGAUAAUCGAGAACGAGCCGUACAGCAACGGUCCGGGCGGUAACGGGCAGUACACACAUAAAAUCUACCACGUGGGCAGUCACCUGCCGGGCUGGUUCAAGAGCCUCCUGCCCAAGUCGGCGCUGAUCGCCAAGGAGGAGGCGUGGAACGCGUACCCGUACACCAAGACCCGGUACACGUGCCCGUUCGUGGAGAAGUUCUCCGUCGAGAUCGAGACCUACUACUUCCCGGACGACGGCCACCAGGAGAAUGUCUUCAACCUCACCGGGAGUGAUUACAGGAACAGGAUCGUGGACCUGAUCGACAUUGUCAAGGAUCAGCCAUACGGGGCCGAUUACGUGAAGGAGGAGGAUCCCAAGCUGUACGUGUCGGAAAAGACUGGGAGAGGCCCAUUAGAUGACAAUUGGCUCGAGGAUUACUGGGCCGAUGUGGAAGGAAAGCAACAGCCAACGCCGUCGGGAAAGUCACUAAUGUGCGCGUACAAGCUAUGCCGAGUAGAGUUCCGUUAUUGGGGCAUGCAAACGAAAUUAGAAAAGUUCAUACACGACGUAGCUUUGCGGAAGACAAUGGUGCGGGCGCACAGGCAGGCCUGGGCCUGGCAGGACGAGUGGAACGGUCUGACGAUGGAAGACAUCAGGGAGAUCGAGCGGCAGACGCAGUUGGCGCUGCAGCGGAAGAUGGGCCUGAGUGAUUCGGAGGACGAGCUCGAGAACGAGGCUCGGAAGGCGACGGCGACGCCGACGACGACGAUGUCGAUCACGACGGCGACGGCGACGCCGGUAAACGCCACGAUGACGUCGGAGGAGUCGGCGGUAGCCAAGACGCUGGCGGCCACCCUGGGCAGCAUCGAGAAGAACGAGGAGGCGCAGAGCCCGCCGUCCCUCAGGAAACCGUCCGACAUUCCCAUCAUCAACACGGCGGCCAGCUCCGAGGGCGAGAUCAGUCCCGGAGACUCGCCGAUCGAUCUGAAUGAGCUCAAAAAUGCGGUCGCCGCUGAAAAAACUAAGAAGGAGUGGCUGAAGAACAUGCACUCGCCGAAUACGAAUAAGAACUUCGACAUCCAGAUCGCCAAUUGGAGGAUGGAGAGCAUUGUCAGGGAAUCCGAAUCCGGCAGUGACGAUGAAUUCUUCGAUUGCCAGGCUGGGUUCAUUAUACCUGUUAUACGCAAAGAGGACUUUGAAGAUAGCUCUUCAUUAGCUAAAUGGAGUUCUUUGGAUCUUCUAGCAGAAGGGGAGGACACGACUGUACGGACACCAUCUGCAUCAAACGAGCAAGAGGAUACAAUAUUUUCACCUUCGUAUCUGCAACGUAUCACCAGCGAACGAAGCAGUAAGAGAUUGCAAAUCAGUACGUCGGCUAGCAUCGACGUAUCGUAUCCAGCAUCCCCUCAACAUUCUCCAACGCAUCAACCGUGCAAAAUUACGGUUUUAAUUUUCGUGGUGCACGGCGGCAGUGUUUUAGAUGCAAAUGUCGAUUUAACGGCGAAAAAGUCAGACAUAACGACAUUCCGUGGAGCUUUUGAAUCUGUUAUGAGACAGCAUUAUCCUAGCAUGGUCGGCCGUGUAGCUGUUAAAUUCGUCGCUUGUCCUUCAAUCUGCACGGAAGGUCUGGGAAUUUUGUCGAGCUUGAGUCCAUACAGCUUCGAUAUGUCGCCUUCGUGCAUGGACGCUCCGCAAGUGACGCACGACACUAUUCCGAUCGGCGCGAUUCCGCUGUUGGCAAGCUCGAGUUCCGAAUAUCAAGAUACGGUAUCGCGUGUGGUGUUGAGUGCCAAUCAAGUGUACCAUGACUUUAUCAAAAGCGAUGAGGGUAAAGGUUUCAGCGGACAGAUUUGCUUUGUGGGUGACUCGGUGGGGUCAAUCUUGGCAUACGACGCCCUGUGCAGGGCGACGCAGCAUUCACGUCAUAGUAGCGAGAAUAGUAUUCUAGAAAGUAGUAGCCAGCAGGGUAAUGACAACGGCGGAAACGAAGACAGCAAACAUUUAUCUGCGCCGUCUCCUAGAAGAAGGUCUUCCGGUACAAGUGAUAACAAGUUGGAGUUUGAAGUGAGUGACUUUUUUACGUUUGGCAGUCCGCUUGCAUUAGUCCUCGCUUAUAGAAAGGUCGCCGCGUCAAGCGACAGGAAUAGUUUUAUACCUAGGCCGUUAGUCAAUCAAAUGUACAAUCUGUUUCAUCCUACCGACCCUGUGGCUGCGAGAUUAGAACCCUUGAUCUCAGCAAGAUUUUCUCUGAUCGCACCGGUCAAUAUUGCCCGAUAUCAAAAGUAUCCGCUCGGCAAUGGCCAGCCUUAUCACUUGCUGGAAACUAUCCAGACUAAUCCGCAGCUGUUCGCCGACGGAUUGAAUGUUCCGAAUUUUCAAAUGUCGCAUUUAAGGAGACUAUCUGAUAUAUCACUUCAGAGUACAAUGUCGGGAAUUAUAGAUAACGUUCCUUUACAGGCAGUGUCUGCCCUGGUGCAAAAAUGGUGGGGCACCAAAAGACUAGAUUAUGCCCUCUAUUGUCCAGAGGGUCUCGCGAAUUUUCCUACAAACGCCUUGCCGCAUCUCUUUCAUGCUAGUUAUUGGGAAUCUUCGGAUGUGAUGGCGUUUAUUUUGAGGCAGUUGGGCAGAUUCGAUUUGCCAUUGCUCGGCAACGAGGAAAAAGAUCUCUCUUCCUUCCGUCCAGGUCAACCUAGAGAGAAAUGGAAUAAGAAGCGUACCUCAGUUAAACUUAAGAAUGUUGCUGCCAACCACAGAGCGAACGAUGUUAUCGUGAGGGAAGGGGCAUCACAAAUAUUAGUCGCUAGAUUCAUGUACAGUCCCAUUGAUAUGAUAACGUUAACAGGUGAGAAAGUUGACAUCCAUAUUAUGAAAAAUGCACCGGCAGGCGAGUGGACAUACCUCUCUACUGAGGUAACUGACAAAAAUGGUAGAAUAAUUUACAAAAUACCGGAUGACAAAGCACUAGGUUAUGGACUUUAUCCAGUAAAGAUGGUUGUAAGGGGAGAUCACACAUCUGUAGAUUUUUUCAUGGCUGUGAUACCGCCGAAAACUGAAUGCGUGGUUUUUAGUAUAGACGGCUCUUUUGCCGCCAGUAGGUCGGUGAGCGGUAAAGAUCCGAAAGUUUGGGCUGGUGCCGUUGACGUUGUGAGGCAUUGGCAGGAACUGGGCUAUGUCAUCAUUUACAUUACCGCGAGACCCGACAUGCAGCAACAGACAGUCGUUUCCUGGCUGUCGCAGCAUAACUUUCCUCAUGGUCUCGUUUCAUUUGCUGACGGCCUGUCCAGGGAUCCGCUCGCCCACAAAGCUGCUUACCUGAAUAAGCUUGUGAAGGAGCAUGGCAUGAUAAUUCAUCAGGCGUACGGCAGUGAAAAGGACAUUAGCGUGUACACGGCGAUAAAUCUUAAACCGAGCCAGAUCUUCAUCAUUGGCAAAGUAUCGAAGAAACAUCAAGCUAUGGCGACAAUAUUGUACGACGGGUAUGCAGCCCAUUUGAGCAUGCUGCAAGCGCACGGUGGUUCGCGGCCUGCUCAGGGCAACGCGCGCAUGGUGAUCCCCAGAGGUCAGUUUGGUUUACCAGGGCAGAAUACUUCCCUGCGUCGACGAAGUAACGACACAACGGUGAACUCCCCGGCGCGCAACAGCGUCUACUUAAAGCGGAAAAUCUACCUUACUCACAUCUAACACACGCCUAUAAUCUACGUACAAUUUACUUACUCACAUUGGUAACUAUCUAAUAACCGUUUACUUCUUACUCACCGUCAUAGGCGUCGACGGCGCGCGAUAAUCGUUCUUUAGAAUGAAUCAAUUGAACGAAUAUUGCACUCUUAAUAUUUGGUUCCGAGUGUUUACUACCUAGAAUUUUCGUGGGAUUUUAUUAGUACUUAGAGAAAUUUUGGGAAUUUUAUACGUUUAAAUUUAAAUUCUAUUUGUUUUUUGAUCAUUUUUUCUUGAUGCAAAAUUGACAACCGAUUAAUAAUAAAUGUACAUUCAUGUACACGUGAUCUUUUACAAAAUUCAAGUGAACGCUCUGUUGGUUGCUCCGUGCUGAAAAACCACGAUCUCUUUGCAAUUUUUAUAAGAAGAAAAGUCCUUUGCCCAUUCUUCACUCUCGAGCUGUUUUAAGGCUUACUUGUUAUUGUUAUUGAAUUUAACUCGAUUAGCUUGAAUUAAUUGACCGAAUAUUUUAUUUAACUAUAAGAGAAUACGUCGGCGCCUAUGCCCUCCGCUUUUCCUCUUUAUUGCAGCGCGAUUUCUUACUGGUAAAAAGAUUGUGUUGUCUUUUCACACAUGAAAACAGUGUGCAUUUAUUAUAAAUCGCGGAAUAAUUAGCAGAGACUUACAUGGCGACUGUUAAGACAACGUCUGUAUAUAGAACCGCAUUCCGAAUCAGCUUUCUCGUGCGCGAGAAAGGACGUUUGAACGGAAAAGGAUAUAAUUAUCAAUUAUUCUUAAACAAGAUUAAUUGAAUUAUACGAAUUUGGGAAAUCGACGCGUUGUCUUGAUUAUAUGUGUGCCAGAUCGGCGUUCCGCUGACUUCUCGUUUUUCCCACAACGAUCCUGGAUCUUUUUACCAUUAACGCGCGCUGCACCCGGUCACGUCCUCACGCUAUCUAGUCAAUAAAAGCGGAGGCCCACCGACCGAAUGUCGCUGACCAGUCUCUUGAUUGCAGGUACCUGCUAUGAGGAUAUGUCGCGUUGUCUCAGCGUAGUUAAAUAUCACACUUCUCUGUCUCUAUCACUCACUCGGCGAAAAAAAGCUGUUGUCGCCAUACCUACGCUCGAAACUCAUUGUUUGCCUAGUCGGCUAUAGUCACAGUCAGUGUCCAGGAUCCGCGGUCAGUCCGCUCUAUGACCGCUCGCUAGAUACGCCCGGGAAGUAGAGUCGUUUUCGUAAUCUCCUCCCCGAAACGAACCGGUCUCACUUUAGCGACGAAGGUGGCGGAAUCAUGGGACAAACGAAAGCAUACGCUAACGAGAAAGCGGUAUCAAGAAAAAAAAAAGACUAACCGAAAUGUAAGAUCAGACUCCAGGCAACUCCUAUAAAGUAACAUCUCUUUUCUCUUGGCGUGCUUGUAGAAGUAAAUUAAUCGAUUAAUUAGAGAUUUAGCCUCGCGAUUUAUAUACUAAUUACUAAGCUGUUUUAUUAUUGCUACCUCCAUAGAGAAAGAGAAAGAGAGAGAAAGGGAAAUAUUGUUUUGUCCUUUUUGCUUGUCUACUUAUGGUUCCCUCCAUAGUACUGGCAGCAAGACUCGAUGAGUUUAUGAUAUCAACUGUAUAAUAUAUAACAU
rnacentral:misc_RNA from 1 species